GACGAACGCUGGCGGCGUGCUCAACACAUGCAAGUCGAACGGAAAGGCCCUGCUUUUGUGGGGUGCUCGAGUGGCGAACGGGUGAGUAACACGUGAGUAACCUGCCCUUGACUUUGGGAUAACUUCAGGAAACUGGGGCUAAUACCGGAUAGGAGCUCCUGCUGCAUGGUGGGGGUUGGAAAGUUUCGGCGGUUGGGGAUGGACUCGCGGCUUAUCAGCUUGUUGGUGGGGUAGUGGCUUACCAAGGCUUUGACGGGUAGCCGGCCUGAGAGGGUGACCGGCCACAUUGGGACUGAGAUAGGGCCCAGACUCCUACGGGAGGCAGCAGUGGGGAAUAUUGCACAAUGGGCGGAAGCCUGAUGCAGCAACGCCGCGUGCGGGAUGACGGCCUUCGGGUUGUAAACCGCUUUCGCCUGUGACGAAGCGUGAGUGACGGUAAUGGGUAAAGAAGCACCGGCUAACUACGUG
rnacentral:rRNA from 1 species